rnacentral:rRNA from 1 species
GGAUGACGGUACCCAAAGAAUAAGCACCGGCUAACUUCGUGCCAGCAGCCGCGGUAAUACGAAGGGUGCAAGCGUUACUCGGAAUUACUGGGCGUAAAGCGUGCGUAGGUGGUCGUUUAAGUCCGUUGUGAAAGCCCUGGGCUCAACCUGGGAACUGCAGUGGAUACUGGACGACUAGAGUGUGGUAGAGGGUAGCGGAAUUCCUGGUGUAGCAGUGAAAUGCGUAGAGAUCAGGAGGAACAUCCAUGGCGAAGGCAGCUACCUGGACCAACACUGACACUGAGGCACGAAAGCGUGGGGAGCAAACAGGAUUAGAUACCCUGGUAGUCCACGCCCUAAACGAUGCGAACUGGAUGUUGGGUGCAAUUUGGCACGCAGUAUCGAAGCUAACGCGUUAAGUUCGCCGCCUGGGGAGUACGGUCGCAAGACUGAAACUCAAAGGAAUUGACGGC